UACGGGGCGCAGCAGGCGCGAAAACUUUACCAUGCGGGCAACCGUGAUAAGGAAACCCCGAGUGCCAGCACAGGCUGGCUGUCCGCCAGUUUAAAUAACUGGUGAAGAAAGGGCCGGGCAAGACCGGUGCCAGCCGCCGCGGUAAUACCGGCGGCUCGAGUGGUGGCCGCUAUUACUGGGCUUAAAGGGUCCGUAGCUUGAUAACUGGGUCCCUUGAGAAAUCCGCCAGCUUAACUGGCGGGCGUUCAGGGGAAACUUGUUUUCUAGGGACCGGGAGAGGUGAGGGGUACUGCCGGGGUAGGAGUGAAAUCCUGUAAUCCCGGUGGGACCACCUAUGGCGAAGGCAUCUCACCAGAACGGGUCCGACAGUGAGGGACGAAAGCUGGGGGAGCAAACCGGAUUAGAUACCCGGGUAGUCCCAGCCGUAAACGAUACUCGCUAGGUGUCGGCCACGGUGCGACCGUUGUCGGUGCCGUAGGGAAGCCGUGAAGCGAGCCACCUGGGAAGUACGGCCGCAAGGCUGAAACUUAAAGGAAUUGGCGGGGGAGCACCACAACGGGUGGAGCUUGCGGUUUAAUUGGAUUCAACGCCGGAAAUCUUACCGG
rnacentral:rRNA from 1 species